rnacentral:rRNA from 1 species
GAGUUUGAACCUGGCUCAGGACGAACGCUGGCGGCGCGCCUAACACAUGCAAGUCGAACGGGGUUAUAGGAACAGCUUGCUGGGAAUAUAACUUAGUGGCGGACGGGUGAGUAACACGUGAGCAACCUGCCUUUCAGAGGGGAAUAACGUUUGGAAACGAACGCUAAUACCGCAUAACAUUGGGAUAUGGCAUCAUGACCCAAUCAAAGAUUUAUCGCUGAAAGAUGGGCUCGCGCCCGAUUAGGUAGUUGGUGAGAUAAUAGCCCACCAAGCCGACGAUCGGUAGCCGGACUGAGAGGUUGAACGGCCACAUUGGGACUGAGACACGGCCCAGACUCCUACGGGAGGCAGCAGUGGGGGAUAUUGCACAAUGGGGGGAACCCUGAUGCAGCGACGCCGCGUGAGGGAAGACGGUUUUCGGAUUGUAAACCUCUGUCUUUAGGGACGAAACAAAUGUCGGUACCUAAAGAGGAAGCCACGGCUAACUACGUGCCAGCAGCCGCGGUAAUACGUAGGUGGCAAGCGUUGUCCGGAAUUACUGGGUGUAAAGGGAGCGUAGGCGGGAAUGCAAGUUGAAUGUUUAAACUAUGGGCUCAACCCAUAGUCGCGUUCAAAACUGCAUUUCUUGAGUGGAGUAGAGGCAGGCGGAAUUCCUAGUGUAGCGGUGAAAUGCGUAGAUAUUAGGAGGAACACCAGUGGUGAAGGCGGCCUGCUGGGCUCUAACUGACGCUGAG